rnacentral:lncRNA from 1 species
GUGCACGGCAGAGUAAUCUGUGGGACUUUACAGAAUAUAGGUUUGAGCAUUCUAAUUCGGAGUAUUUAAAAAGCUCCACAAGUGUUUUUGAUGUUCUGCCAGGGAUGAGAAUCAAGUGGUUUAGCACGUAAAACUUAUGACUUCAAACAAUAAGGAAGAGCUAAUUUUAGACCACUGUGAGAGAUGACAGAUGAGUCCUGGGUGUGGUGGAAACAUCUACGAAAAAACAUGUUUUCUCUCUGGUCUUGGAGGACAGACUUGCCACUGACACUUCCAAAAGAUUUCCUUCCUUUAUUUCCUUCUGACAGAUGAGUAUUUACAAAGCCUCAGAAUAUUCUGUUUAUUAGUGUUAAGUGACACAUAGGUAGAUUUUCAAAAUGACUCUGCAUCAGAAAUGAAUGAAUCUUUUCUUUUAUACAGGUUUAAGUUUUUCUAGCCUGAAGUUUUGUUUCAUCUCUUACUUCCACAGAAAAUUUCAAUGUCUUAAUGUUUCCAAUAUAAUUUUACCCUGAUGUACAGAGAAAAAUCAAGAUUCUGUAGGAAUGAAGUAGUAUCCUCACUUGCUGAUAGACAUUUUUUAAGAUGCCAUUUAAUUCAUUUUAAAAAGCAAAGGUUAAGAAUAUUAAAUAUCUUCUUUAGUGUACAGCUACUAUAAAUGGACCAUAACAUGUAGAGUUUUAUUUAGAGGCAGAAUUCUUAACCAGUGAGAAUGAAAAGAAGCAACCAUAAACUAUGUAACCUUGCCUACUUUAUUAGCCCCCUGGCUCCAUUUUCAUAGCAAAUAGGUUGAGCAAACUGUGAAGAAAAAGGAAAAAUCAUAUUUUACUGUUAUUUUUAUAUUCAGUCUUUACCCAAACAUUGAAAUAUAAAACUUAGAUUUUUUUCAGUAACUUUAACUAAAUAAAAAUCAUAACAUUUUCUAUUUAGGAAGUAACUGCUAUUGGUCUGUACAAUACAUUUAAUCUUUCAUAUUAAACCACAUAGAGGGGCUGAGGUUGUAUAGCUCAGCAGUAGAGCCCUUGACUAGCAUGUGUGAGGCAUUGGGUUUGAUUCUUAGCACUGCUUAUAAAUAAAUAAACAUCCAUUGACAACUAAAAAUAUAUUUUUUGAAAAAUUAUCACAGGAAACAUGUUGAAAAAAUUAUCAGUGUCACAUGUCAAUUCUAAUAUGUAAGUACAGCCUCAAAACAAUGAACAGAAGAGUUGAUGAGAAUAGAUGACUCUCCCAGCUGCAUAUUAAAAGAGCUUGUUUUUAUCUCAUUUACAUAUUACAUAGUGUUACCAUAUGUAUUAGUCAGUAUUGUGUUACUAUAAUGAAAUACUUAAGAUGAUUCACUUAUAAAGGGAAAAAGGUUUAUUUUGGCUCUCGGUUCUGGAAUUCCAGCUUAAGAUCAGGUGGCCCCAUGACUUUGGGGCUCCGGUGAGGGCAGCACAUCUUGGCAAGAGUACAUAGUGGAGCAAAUUGUUUAUAUCACGAGCCAGGAAACAUAAAGAGACAGGAAGCAUGGUAUCCCAUAAUUUAUUGGAGGGCAUGCCCCCAGUGACCUUAGAACCUCCCAUUAUGAUCCAGCCCUCAAAACUUCUGCUACCACCUCCUAACAGUGCCACCCUGGGAACCAACCCUUUAACACGUGGCCUUUGCCAUAUAUUUGACCUACAAACUAUGGCACCAUAAUGUCUCCAUUUAAGAAACUUUAUCUGUGGUAGACUAUUUUCUUUUUUUGGUGAUGGUACUGGGGAUAGAACCCAGAAGACCUGUACCACAGAGCUACAUCACUAGCCCUUUUUACUUUUGAGACAGGGUCUCACUAAUUUGCUGAGGCUAGCCUCAACUUGUAAUCCUCCUGCCUCAGCCCUAGUAGCUGGGAUUAUAAGUGUGUGCCACCACACCUGGCCUUGUGGUGUGGCAAAGUUUUCUAUAAAAUACCAAUUUAGGGGCUGGGGUUAUGGCUCAGCGGUAGAGCACUCGCCUCGCAUGUGUGAGGCCCUAGGUUCGAUCCUCAGCACCACAUAAAAAUAAAUACAGAUAUGUGUCCAUCUACAACUAAAAAAUAAAUAUUUUUUUAAAAAUACCAAUUUAGUCCAGAGGGAAAUUCUACUGAAUAUUUAACUUGAUAUGUACAACACAUUGGUCCCAAAAUGAGGAACAAAAAUAUGCCUUUAAAAGCAAGUUCUAUGCGAUCAUCCAGAUAAUAAUAGAAGGCAGGAUCUUCCCCUCCACCAUUUGUGCCAGAAAACUGUAAUGAAAAGUAAAAUACAUGAAUUUG